ACACGGCGAGACCGCGGACGGCUCAUUAAAUCAGUCGUGGUCCAUAUGGGCUAGAGUUAAACCUACUUGGAUAACUGUGGUAAUUCCAGAGCUAAUACAUGCUACUCUUAUCCUGAGGUUGCGCGGCUCUCGGGUCGUUGCGCUGACGGAUGCUUUUAUUAGACCAAACCGCUGGGUGCUUGUGCUUUCCCUCGGGAUCGUGCUGGCAUUGACCCGUUGAAUGGUGACUCUGGAUAACCUUUUUGACAAGCGCACGUACUCUUUUUGGGACGGCGCUGCCACUUUCGAGUGUCUGCCUUAUCAGCUAUCAACCGUUCGUUAUGCGCGCACGAUGGCUUUGACGGGUAACGGGGAAUCAGAGUUCGAUUCCGGAGAGGCAGCCUGAGAGACGGCUACCACGUCCAAGGACGGCAGCAGGCACGCAAAUUACCCAAUCCCAGCAUCUGGGGGAGGUAGUGACGAAAUAUAACAAUGCGGGCGCCCUUUUUGGGGCCCCGCAAUUGGAAUGGCCACUUUCUAAACAACCUGUCGAGAACCUACUGAAGGGCAAGUCUGGUGCCAGCAGCCGCGGUAAUUCCAGCUU
rnacentral:rRNA from 1 species